GAACGAACGCUGGCGGCAGGCUUAACACAUGCAAGUUGAACGGGAUUUGAUUGCAGCUUGCUAUAAUUAAUGAGAGUAGCGCACUGGUGAGUAACACGUGGGAACAUACCUUGAAGUGGGGGACAACAGUUGGAAACGACUGCUAAUACCGCAUAAUCCCUGAGGGGGAAAGAUUUAUUGCUUUAAGAUUGGCCCGCGGAAGAUUAGGUAGUUGGUGGGGUAAAGGCCUACCAAGCCGACGAUCUAUAGCUGGUCUGAGAGGACGAUCAGCCACGCUGGAACUGAGACACGGUCCAGACUCCUACGGGAGGCAGCAGCUAAGAAUAUUGGGCAAUGGAGGAAACUCUGACCCAGCCAUGCCGCGUGAAUGAAGAAGGCCUUCGGGUUGUAAAGUUCUUUUAGUCGUGAAGAUGAUGACAGUAGCGACAGAAAAAGCACCGGCUAACUUCGUG
rnacentral:rRNA from 1 species